AACGUAGGUCACAAGCGUUGUCCGGAAUUACUGGGUGUAAAGGGAGCGCAGGCGGGAAGACAAGUUGGAAGUGAAAUCCAUGGGCUCAACCCAUGAACUGCUUUCAAAACUGUUUUUCUUGAGUAGUGCAGAGGUAGGCGGAAUUCCCGGUGUAGCGGUGGAAUGCGUAGAUAUCGGGAGGAACACCAGUGGCGAAGGCGGCCUACUGGGCACCAACUGACGCUGAGGCUCGAAAGUGUGGGUAGCAAACAGGAUUAGAUACCCUGGUCGGCUGACUGACU
rnacentral:rRNA from 1 species